GCCGCGCUGCAGCAGGUUGCAAGCAGCCUUCAGGCGGCCUUCCCGCGUGCGGAAGGCCUGGCACCGCGCACUGCCAAUGAUCGUCCCGCCCACUUGCAGGAUGCUGGAGACACUCUCCCAGUCGGCCUCUGCGAUGUUUGAGCCUCCGUCCACCAUGCCCUGGUAGCCCUCGUAGAUGAAGUACACCUUGGCCCCCACGUAGAUACCCAUGCGCACCACGGCACGGACGGCAGCGUUCAUACCUUGAGCAUCCCCGCCGCUGGUCAGCACGCCGAUGGCCUUGCCGGCCCCGGAGAGGUGCUCCAGGAACUUCCGCAAGGAGCCCUUGGGGGCCCGGGAGUCGUCCGCGUCCAUGGCGAGGAGGCCGAGGGGAGCCGCACGUCCGGGUGCGCAGCAGGCAAUGGGGACCCUGCCCGCGCGCGCCUGACUCGGAACCGCCGCCCCGCCCGCGCCCCCGCCCGGCCCCAGCGCCAAUGGGCGGUGACGGGCGGGGCCCGAGCGUAUGGGAGGGGCUGCGGGGGAGGGGGCGCGGGCG
rnacentral:lncRNA from 1 species